rnacentral:rRNA from 1 species
CAGUCGCCACGGUAAUACAGAGGGUGCGAGCGUUAAUCGGAUUUACUGGGCGUAAAGCGUGCGUAGGCGGCUUCUUAAGUCGGAUGUGAAAUCCCUGAGCUUAACUUAGGAAUUGCAUUCGAUACUGGGAAGCUAGAGUGUGUCAGAGGAUGGUGGAAUUCCCGGUGUAGCGGUGAAAUGCGUAGAGAUCGGGAGGAACAUCAGUGGCGAAGGCGGCCAUCUGGGACAACACUGACGCUGAGGCACGAAAGCGUGGGGAGCAAACAGGAUUAGAUACCCCAGUAGUCCCUGUCUCUUAUAC